ACCCACGAACCGCGAGAUCGUGACCUGAGCCGAAGUCGGACGCUUAGUCGACUGAGCCACCCGGGCGCCCCAAUACAUUUCCGUUUUUGAAUGCAGCGCCAGGCCUUGGAGUUCAGGAGCUGUUUAACGUGAUGUUCUCCCUGAGCAGUGUCAAGUUGCAUCUCCUAGGUUUCUGUAAUCUGUCCUGGGGAGGAGACGGGCCGUUCCCUUCAUGGUCUGCCAUUUGCUGCUUCAACCGUGUCCACGCCGUGAGCGGCCUGGCCACCUCUCAGAGGACAUGCGGGUGUGGUGGCCCGCACGGCCAGGCUGCUGAUUUGUCCAGGUUGCAGGAACUGGGAUUGUUACGCUGAAAUGAUCCGAAUGCUAAACAUUGCUGAAAUUGCACAAAGGUGCCUGGCUGGCCAAACAGAAAUGCGUGUGGCCCACAUGUAGCUCACGGGCCACGGUAUUUGGCCGCUUGCUGCGCGUGGACGUGGGAUUUCUCUCUGUGCCUCAUGUUCUGUCCCGACUCUUCUUGUUCUCUCAUGGAAAAUGGCAGAAAGUUCUGGAAACCUUCAUUUUGUGCUGCUUUUAAUUGUGAUAAAAUUUACAUAACAGAAAAUUCAUCAUUUGAACCAUCUGAAAGUCUCCAGUUCCGCGGCAGGAAGCACAUCUGCAGUCUGGUGUCACGACUGCCUCCGCCUGGUUCCGGAACCCCGUGUUACCCGGAACAGAAACCCCACACUCCUCUCCCCCGCCACCAGCUCCUGACAACCACUUACCAGCUUUCUGUUUCUGUGUGGUGCUUAAUAGCUUUGCCUAACCCAGGGCCGUGAAGAUAUAUCCCCAGUUCCUUACAAGUUUUAUAGUUGCAAUGCUUACGUGGAAGUUAUUGAUACAUUUCGAGUUAACUUCUGUACGUGGUGUGAGGUAAGGCUCCAGCUCCGUUCUUUUGCACGUGCACGUGCAGCUGUCUCAACUCUGUUUGCCGGAAACACUCUCCUCUCUCCACUGAGGGUCGUGGCCCCUGCUGAGGGCCAGGUGGCUACACGUAGGUGUUUGGGUCACUUCCGGACCCUAGUCCUGUGCAUGUUUAUCCGUGUGUGUGUCCUCAUGCCGGUGCCACAAUGUCUUGAUUCUUGUAAGUUUUGAAGUCAGUAAGUGUGAGUUCUCCAACUUUGCUUUUCUCUUUAAAGGUUCUUUUGGCUCUUCGGGGUCGCUGAAGUGUCACCUGAACUUGAGGGUUCAGCCAGCUGGGAUUCUGAUAGGGAUUGCCUUGAAUCUGAUCGAUUCGGGAAGUAUCGGAGCGGCCGCAUCUGACAGUCCCCCGCCCGACUGCGUGUGUGCGGCAGCAGGGGCAGCUGAGAUGGAGGCCAGUGCUCCCUCCCCCUCUGCACAGUGCACUUACCUGCAAAGUCCAAGGUCGAAAGGCGAGACGUGUGGAGGCCGUGCCCACCUGCUCUGGCAGAUGUGCAAGACUCUGGUGGGGAUGCACUCGGGCUGUGUCCUGAGCACACAGCCCGUCACACUUGAUCCCUGUUGGCCCCUCCAGAACGCAGGCCUUCUCCUGUGGGCUUGUCCAGCCGCAGCCCUGACGUUUGUGCAGUUUAGCACCCCACGCGCCCGUGGCCUGAAUCUGCAUCGUCCCCGGGUCUGAGGCCCGCCUGGGGCCUUCUGUCAGCCCUGUCCUGCUGAGGCUGAAACUCCCACAGCCACUAGUGUCUGGUCUCUGCUUGGGGGCCAAUCCGGACAAGACCUUUGAAUAAGGAUCCCAAGCGGACGGGUAGCUUGCCUUCCGCGGCCGCACAGCAGAGACCCUGUGAGUCCAAGCGCAAGGCUUUCCCUGGCCCUCGUUAGCGUCUGUCCUCCGGGUCAGAACCCGCCUGCUCACAGAGACACGCCUCAGGCCAGAGAGUCACCGCCAAGGGCUCAUCAGCCGCCCCACCAGCUUGUCAGACUCCAGUGUGUCUCCGUUUGCAGGGAGCACCUGUGUCCCCAGAGGCUCCAGUAGAGGAAACGAUGGUAAAAAGCCACCAUUUAGGGAGACUCGAGUUUCCAAUACUCAGCUUAAAUUCUGACCCUCCCAGUGGCUGCACGACACAAGGCUGUGGGGUUCCACUAGUGUUUUUUCUUGGCACUUUUUCUGAGUGGGACGAUCCCUUUAGCAUUUAUGAAGUUACCAGCAUUUAACGUUUUGUAUCGAUAUUUUACUACACAGGUGGAUGCAGUAGCCACAAAACAAAGCCAUUACAAAAAUUCCA